GAUGAACGCUGGCGGCGUGCCUAAUACAUGCAAGUCGAGCGGAUGAAAGAGGAGCUUGCUCCUCUAGAUUCAGCGGGGGACGGGUGAGUAACACGUGGGCAACCUGCCCUGUAGAUUGGGAUAACUCCGGGAAACCGGGGCUAAUACCGAAUAAUCCUUCGGACCUCAUGGUCCGAUGUUGAAAGACGGUUUCGGCUGUCACUACAGGAUGGGCCCGCGGCGCAUGAGCUAGUUGGUGAGGUAACGGCUAACCAAGGCCACGAUGCGUAGCCGACCUGAGAGGGUGAUCGGCCACACUGGGACUGAGACACGGCCCAGACUCCUACGGGAGGCAGCAGUAGGGAAUCUUCCACAAUGGACGAAAGUCUGAUGGAGCAACGCCGCGUGAGUGAAGAAGGUUCUCGGACCGUAAAACUCUGUUGUGAGGGAAGAACAAGUACCGGAGUAACUGCCGGUGCCUUGACGGUACCUCAUUAGAAAGCCACGGCUAACUACGUGCCAGCCGCCGCAGUAA
rnacentral:rRNA from 1 species